rnacentral:rRNA from 1 species
UACAGAGGGUGCAAGCGUUAAUCGGAAUUACUUGGCGUAAAGCGUGCGCAGACGGUUGCGUAAGUCAGAUGUGAAAGCCCCGGGCUCAACCUGGGAAUUGCAUUUGAGACUGCGUAGCUAGGGUGCGGAAGAGGGAAGCGGAAUUUCCGGUGUAGCGGUGAAAUGCGUAGAUAUCGGAAGGAACACCAGUGGCGAAAGCGGCUUCCUGGUCCAGCACCGACGUUCAGGCACGAAAGCGUGGGGAGCAAACAGG